rnacentral:rRNA from 1 species
UACGUAGGGGGCAAGCGUUAUCCGGAUUUACUGGGUGUAAAGGGAGCGUAGACGGCAGAGCAAGUCUGAAGUGAAAGCCCGCGGCCCAACUGCGGGACUGCUUUGGAAACUGCCCGGCUAGAGUGCUGGAGAGGUAAGCGGAAUUCCUAGUGUAGCGGUGAAAUGCGUAGAUAUUAGGAGGAACACCAGUGGCGAAGGCGGCUUACUGGACUGUAACUGACACUGAGGCUCGAAAGCGUGGGGAGCAAACAGG